GUAGUAUCGUUCCGUCGACUUACACCGAACUAGUUCUACAGUUGUUCACGGGUGAGGGAUUGAUCGGUUACUCAAGUUGUCAAGGGUUGUUUUAGGGUUGCAUUGCUUUGAGAAGGAGUUUUGAUGGGUCAUGGACUUGUUGAUGAUGUAUCAAGUGGCUGUGGAGGAAUUGUUAGAUUUAUGAUGUUGUGCACAGCGCCCCCUUGGUGCUUGUAGUGUAGAUUGGAUGCACUGUGGCAACAACUGGUUAGCUGUCAGAUGUGGCAUUCUCUUAGUAUUUGGAAGUUAGCCUUCGGUGAGCUUGGUUCGGAGUUCAAAGGGUAUCAUCAGACUGAUUGUAGGAUAUAUUUGGUUGUAUUUGUGCCAUCCUUCACGGGGAUUAUUUCUACAAGUCAGGAUUGUAUAGUGGAAGACUGAUUGGUCAUUUUGGUGUGGAUAUUUGCAGUCGGAAACUUAAGCUCUUUUGAGGAUUUGUGGUGGAUACCGAACUCGUGCCAGGUGGAAGGAUUUCCGAAAUUAGAUUCAUAAGAAACAGAAGGCCCUCAGUCACUCAUCAAGUCCCAGCAGGACUUCCGUGCAGAACACCGCACACGAAGAAUCGUAUAGAAAACCCCUUGGCCAGGGUAAGAAUUUUACCAUUAAAUGUGUUUUAAAUGAUUUUAGUAAUUUCUGGUUCCAUCGUUAUAUCUCAACUGAAUAUUAGUAUUGAAGAGAGGUUUCAACACUCAUUCAAUUUUCUUGAUUUUUACGGGUCAUAUGGUUAUACAGGGCACCCAAAAAUAUACUCUUGUUAUCUUGCUACUUUGCUUAAAUGAAAAUAUACCAGGGGUAUUGAUUAGUCAAAUAGUCCUAUUGAAUGGGGGUUGAAUCUCACCUUGUUUUUAUCUGAUUCUGAUUGAGAAUUUUCUUCCGUAGGGUUUUCUUUUUCCUGUCUUUUUUUCCUCUAUUUUCUUCCUGGAUCUUAUUUGGUGAUCCAUUACUGGUCCAGCUUGUCGUGCCCUACAGGGUGAUCUAUCUUGGUGGUGCUACAGGGUGAUCCAUCUCCGCCGUACUACAGGGUGAUCCAUCUCAGCAGUACUACAGGGUGAUCCACUUCCGUCGAACUACGGGGUAGCCUAACACCAUAUACCGGGUGGCCCAAAAGGAGCACGCAAGUUAUAAUUGAUUUAUUUGAAUAUUUGUGCUAUACUGAGUUAUUUGAAUAAUUGUUUGCCCUUAUGUUUAUUGAUACCUGUUGAUAUAG
rnacentral:lncRNA from 1 species